UUAUCGACUCCGAAAGAAUGAAGGGCUUCGUUGGCUUUUGGAGUGGUAGCAAAUCUCACCUGGGUAGUAUCACGUGGGCACCUCUGCGCCGCUCAACCCCAUUUUUCAUCAAUUUUCUACUUAUUCCAUAUCGAGAAAACUCGAUUUCAGUUUUUUAUCACGUGUGUUAAAAGCGGUAACCUGAUGGCCAUUCGACUCUCGCCGAAAACAGUUUCAGUCAAAGAGUUGUUGGUACUGGACUUCGACGGUACAUUCGUCAAAGUGUAAUUUAGGUGUUUUAAGUGUUGUUCAGAAAGGAUGAAAACUUGUACUAGAGUUAAAUGCUAGAAACUUGCUUUCAUCUAUUCAUCUGAAUCUAUAUGGUUUUUAGUAAGAGGUUUUAGAAAAGUUACUACAUAGAUAACUUGCUUGUAGCUUAUUAAGUGUCCAUAGUGACGUUGCUUUAUGAUUCUUUGAUGUCACCUCUUCUUAUCAUUGCAAAGCAAAAUUAGCUAGGUGUUGGAUUGACUACUCAACGGAUUUUGACCGAUAUGAUACUAGUCCUUUGCUCGCUUUGCCUUACUGUUAAUUAAUUGUUAAUCUCGAUAGCAAUGCUGCUUAGUACGGAGCAAACAUCAAAUUUAGACACUUGGUUCGUAGACUUUAGGGAUCGGCUAAUAGUUUGAAGCUGACGUUUGAAAGAUAAUAAGUGAACGCCACUAAGCUAGAAUCCCACAUAGUAAAGGAAACAAUAUCGUUGUUUCCCAGUAUCUAGAGAUCUCCCAGCAUUAGUAUUAAUGAAAUAUCUACGAAAUGGUUUGAUAUGAAAAAUGUACCAAUUCGCAUUUGCGCCAUUCCAUUGGCUGGAUCAGAAGUAGCUGUUGGGCACUGCAGUGGCGUGUAGUUAAUAGUAAUAAUAAGCUGC
rfam:Dictyocaulus viviparus strain HannoverDv2000 D_viviparus-1.0_Cont1605.2, whole genome shotgun sequence.